GAUGAAGAACGCAGCGAAAUGCGAUAAGUAAUGUGGAUUGCAGAAUUCAGUGAAUCAUCGAAUCUUUGAACGCACCUUGCGCCCUUUGGCCAUUCCGAAGGGCAUGCCUGUUUGAGUAUCAUGAACACCUCAACUCUUCAUGGUUUUCCGUGAUGAGCUUGGACUUUGGGGGUCUUGCUGGCCUAUGGUCAGCUCCUCUAAAAUAAAUCAGCUUGCCAGUGUUUGGUGGGUAUCACAGGUGUGAUAACUAUCUACGCUUGUGGUUUUCCACCAGGUAACCUUCAGCAGUGGAGGUUCGCUGGAGCUCACAGAUGUGUCUCUCCUCAGUGAGGACAGCUCUUUGAAUGUUUGAUCUCAAAUCAGGUAGGACUACCCGCUGAACUUAAGCAUAUCAAUAAGCGGAGGA
rnacentral:misc_RNA from 1 species